rnacentral:rRNA from 1 species
UACGUAGGGCGCAAGCGUUAUCCGGAAUUAUUGGGCGUAAAGAGCUCGUAGGCGGUUUGUCGCGUCUGCCGUGAAAGUCCGGGGCUCAACUCCGGAUCUGCGGUGGGUACGGCAGACUAGAGUGAUGUAGGGGAGACUGGAAUUCCUGGUGUAGCGGUGAAAUGCGCAGAUAUCAGGAGGAACACCGAUGGCGAAGGCAGGUCUCUGGGCAUUAACUGACGCUGAGGAGCGAAAGCAUGGGGAGCGAACAGG